UUUCCAGAGAUGGACUGGUGCCUUCGGGAACUGUGAGACAGGUGCUGCAUGGCUGUCGUCAGCUCGUGUUGUGAAAUGUUGGGUUAAGUCCCGCAACGAGCGCAACCCUUAUCCUUUGUUGCCAGCGGUCCGGCCGGGAACUCAAAGGAGACUGCCAGUGAUAAACUGGAGGAAGGUGGGGAUGACGUCAAGUCAUCAUGGCCCUUACGACCAGGGCUACACACGUGCUACAAUGGCGCAUACAAAGAGAAGCGACCUCGC
rnacentral:rRNA from 2 species